UGUAUCUGAAGCCUGACGAGGAUGAGAACCUCCGGGGGCAAGAGGUUCGACCCGAGCGAAGCGAGAAAACGUUGCGUCAGCAACGGCCCGCAGGGCGAGCCACGUAGUGGCGAGUCAUCCUCUAUCACCGACCA
rnacentral:sRNA from 1 species